rnacentral:misc_RNA from 1 species
CUUCCCUCAAUGAAGCUUGUCCGUGAUACAGACAAGUUCACAGAGUAAUUUCAAUUUUGUGGUAGAUACUAGAUUAUAUAAUAACAGUUGCUUCACUUGAUGCUUUCCAAAAUUUAGCCAAGCAUGUUUAUCCAUUCGUGGAAUUGAAUCCAUACUAGCUCUGUGCCAUUUUUAUAUAAUUUAUUUUAAGAGUACGCAAUAACUAUGAACACACUUUGUUCCACUCUCUAUAUUGCUUCUUACACUCAUGUGAUAUUUGCAGAAUGUAUAUCAUUUAUGGUUUUUUUUUGAAGCUUCUUGAAGAAAA